rnacentral:tRNA from 1 species
AAUCAAGAAAUGAAUCUUCAUAUAUGGUUUCGACCCAUACUUAGGUAUUUACUUACCCUUGACU